AAAUCUGGAAGUUGGGCUUGCAUACACCUCUCUCCCUACGACAGCGCCCUCAGGCCCGCUGCUUCUGAAGUAGACGUCCCGAGACUAUCUCUGAGGCACUGUUUCCACGCCAUCAGGGUUCCUCAGGCUUGACAUUCAAAAGUGGGCUGAGGGUGCGGAACCCGCGGCGCGGCGCUAGGCGCUCUCGGAGCGAGCGCGCUUUAAAGCGAUCGCCAGCCAGCGCCGCUGUCACCCCGCGCACCGCCUGCUGCCCGGCUCCCGCCCUGCAUCUGCGCCGUCGCCACCGAGCGAUCCCGGAGCCUCCCCGCUCCGGGAAUCUCCCGCCAGCCGCGCGGGUCUCCACGGCAGGAGCACGUGGAGCGGCCGCGGAGCCUGAAGGACAGCUGCAGCCCGCCGGCCCCGCGGCGACAUGGAAGAUACACAGCCAAAUGCGGAGCUGAAAAGCACGGAGGAGCGGCCUCUGCCCACAGAAAGCCCAGAAGCUCUGAGUGACUACAGUUUAACCAAACCCCAUGAAAUAGAAAAUGUGGACAGUACAGAAGGCCCAGCCAACGAAGAUGAAGACACAGGAGGUAAA